rnacentral:lncRNA from 1 species
CACGCCCGCGCCCGCCGAAGCCACGCCCGAAACCGCCGCGAUCACCGCCUCCGCGCUCUGCCAUUGUGGAUUGAGAGAGAGAGUUUGGUAGAAAGGAUGUGUAUGUGUGCGGCUACGCAGAUGAGGUUUGUGUGAUUUUUAGGGUUUAUGUAAAGAGAGGGCUAUUUAAUGGGCCAGGUAAUGGGCUUAUAUGAUUAAAAAAAUUUAUUUUAUAGUGUGCAAAAUGGUUUUGCUUCCUGCACCGUCAUGAUUAUUUCCUGCACUUUUUCUAUCAUAAAAAAAUUAAAACACCCUUCCGCGCACGGAAAUGUUUGGACUUCGAAACACUCUUUCAAGCACUCAUGUAAUAGGAAGAAGAGAGUAAAACUAUAUAUAAUUUUGUAAUUUCUUUUACCAUGUGAAUUGCCUAAUUCAUAAAAUUUAUGAAUUGUUUAAUUGGUAAUGUUUUUGGAUUACAGAAUACAGAAAGGUUGAAUGUUUAUGUAAAUAUUACGAAAAACAUUUCAUAUAUUCUAGUUUGUUUUGGAAAACAUGUUCUGAAAUAUCACUAUAAUAGAUAAUAAAAUAGUCACCAUUAAAAUAUACCAUGAAAGUCAUAUUGGUCGUUUAGAAAAUUAUUGGGUGCAGGUAGUUAUUGUUGAAAUAUAGAUAAGUUUGAAAUAGAAGAGUGGAGAGAGGAUCACAUAUGAAGACUUGGAAAGAAGAUAAAGACAAAUAGAUAACUUCCCAUAUCUAGAGAUGCAAAAUGAAAUCUAUGAAAGUCCAAGAAGAAGUCUUCUUAAUUUUUAACUUAGAUUGUUGCAUAUCCUAAAAAAAUAUUUCUUAUAAGAAAAUCAUUUUGAAACUAAUUUAACAUUUUUAUGAAAAAUCGUUAAAUUUUUAAUAUUUUUUAGAAAAGACAUAAUACUAAAACAAUAAAAAAGAUAGUCUAUGCAAUACUAAUGACUUUAAUCUCUUUAUUAUGAUUAUUUUAUUAUUAAUGUAUCUCACAUGAUAGUAUCAUUUGUUCACUUAUAACAUACGAUUAUUGUAGGUAAAUAAAACGACAAGAGAUGAAGAUAAAGGUAAGGUAGAAUUAUUAAAAUUUUAUUAACAAGUCUAUGUUAUAACCAUAAUAAAAGAUCACACAUAUAUUUAUAUAGAUUUACACAUUAUGGUUUGUCAUAAUAAAAUAUUUAUCAUGUAAUUGUAUUCUUACAUCAUUUCAUUUAACAAGUAAUAACUCAAACCAUCAUACAAUAAACAAGAUCUUAUGAAAGCUUAAUGUAUUUAUUAGGUUCUAAGAUCAUGCACAUGUUAGUUAUACUCGCUCAAAACCAAUGUGUAUAACAUGGUGAAUCAUUCAUAUGUAGAUUUCACCUUAAGUCAAAUCUACAAAUGAUGACUUCCUUUAACUCUCACUUUAAGUAUAUUUCUCUAUGUGAGUCUAAUACUUAGUAGAAUCAGAAUAGUCUUAAUACAAGUCAUUCCAAUAAUACAUUCCACAUAUCAUUUAGACAUUAACAUCUCCACCUUGGAGAUUUCUAACUCUGACUCAAAUCCACACAAUCAACCACAAAUAAAGAUAUCACUACAUAAAGCAAUUUCAUCAUACCAAACAUUCAUACCUAUUCAUUUAUCAUACAACUCUUAAAUUAUCACACCAUGUCAUACAUAAUGUUUCUUAAUUUCAUCCAAACUCACCACAUCAUUUAAUUUAAUUCAGACAAUAAUAAUACAUCAUUUAUUUUUUAGUGCAUUAGCAUAACAUUCACUUGCGUUGAUAGGAGGAGUUAUAUCUAGCAAAACUCAUCUCACAUAUGUGUUUUUAAUGAUGAACAAAAGAAAUGUUUUAUAGUUUCUUGCACAACAAAUGGAAAAAUAAUUGCUUGAUCAUUAUUGUGUUGGUACUUGAAAUGAUUGGUAUAUGCAAAAUAAUUGCUUGAUGAUUAUUGUGUUUGUACUUGAAAUGAUUGGUAUAUGUAUUCAUUGAUUGUAAAUGAAUUAAAAGUUGAAACAUAUUGCAUAUUGUAUAUAUGAAAGAAAUAAUCGAUUAAACUAUGUAUAUAAUGUUAAAUUUCUUCAGAUUUCAGUACAUGCUUAACAGGGGCAAAAUAAAUAUGUUUUAAUCGAUCACAUUAGUUGUAUAAUUGAUUAAAACACAUUGUUUUGCCAACAUGUGUUUGUUGAGUGCAUUGAUGUGUUUGGAAAGGAAAAUGAUUUUGAAAUUUGUUUAAGUGUGAAAAUUAAGCGAUUACAUAAGUUUCGUAAUAAGUUAAAUUGUUUAUCUUGUGAAAAUAAUUUUCAUUGAAGGUCAUAACUGCCUAUAACGGUCAUAUUUGUUUGUUGUUGACUUGUAUGAUUUAUCUAAUCGAUUGCAUGCGAUGUUUAAUCUGUUAAAUUUGAAACAUAUGUAAAACUGUUAAAGCAUAAGUAAAAACUUAACAGAUUACAUUAAAAACGUAAUCGAUUAAAUUGCGUCAAGAUCUGAAAAUCCUAUAAAUAAAUGUCUUGCGCGCUGAUUCAAUAUAAUUACAUGAACUUACACUUUCAUAAAUAACUUGUUUAUUGAAUAUUGAUUGCAGGAGCAUCUUAUAACAAGUCUUGAAGAAUCAAAGAUCUCAUUUGGGUUAUUCAUAAAGAUUCUUGCAAGAAAGUUGAGCUGAUAUAUUGCUUAUCAAUGUUGCACUUCUAGUGUAUUCUUUGAGGAUCCGUUUCUAGUUUGCAAUCAAGAGGAUUGUGUUCCUGUUGUUGUUAGCCAGGAGGAAGAACCAUAGUGUAAUAACUUGUAUGCAUACACAACUUAAGGAAGAAAGGGCAUUAGUGGCCUUAAAAAUAAACAUUUAGCUUAAGCUUUAAACAAUUUUUUUCUCCCCUUUUUUAUCAUUAUAAAAAAGUUGUGCAAAGAGAUUCUCCCCGUAAUAGUACUCCCCUUAUAUAUAGUAAUAAAAAUAAUUUUAUUGAACAUAACAAAUUUUAUUGAAGGGAAAAGGAAGCACAAUUCAAAACAUAUAAAUUAUAAGAAUUUAAAAUUCAUCACUAUCAUGGUUAUCUAUAGGAUUGAUAUAAUCUUUUGAGACAAGGAACCUAAGAUUUAGAUUUCUAAUAAGAGAGCAAACUUCUUGAUGCCUAGAGUCUUGAAAGGAUGACUUUUUAUACUAAAUGAGGAGCUUGCAGAGGCAUACUCAGAUGGUCUAGUAAUGUCAAGGGCAUAUGCCAUGUGUUAGUCUUCAUCUUCAUCUUCUUGGUUCCUAAUAUCAUCACGGUGGCUAUAGACAUUACCUUGAGGGAGUAUGCUAAAUGAUAGGAUAACACAGAAUCGGGGGAAGUCUCCAGAUUCUUAGAAGUUUAAGCAUAACAUUUUACACAUUCAUGUAAUAUGUUUAUGUGUUUAGAUAUAAGUCCUUGAAUUAUUUAAAUUUUGCUUCGAUUUCAGUAAUCUCGUUAUUUACUAUGAUCGUUUACCAUGCUUUAAUAAGUUUAUCUUUAUUUAUUUCAACUGUGACUACUAUCCCGCAAGCUUAAGAUAAAAAAUAUUUAAACAACCAAAAAUUUUAAAUGUAUAAAAUUGCAAUUCCAUGUUAAACUGAGAAAAAUCAUAUCGUUUAGAUGUGUAUUUGUUAAACAUAACAAGGGGGGAUUGUUAAGACAAAAUCAUCUAUAAGACUUAUAUGUCUAAACACUCUCAUAUGUUUUGAAGUUUAACCAAAUAACAUUAAACAAAAUGAAAAUAUGAAGAUGUUAUUGAUAAUGACAUAUUUUACCAUGAUUUCAGUAUUGAAUUUAGAGAAAAUGUCAACUCUUUCUUAGCUUUUUACCUUCUUUAUGCCUUAAUUUUUUAUGUUUUUAAUUUGUUACAUCUUGAGUUGUAUUUAUUAAAAUUUCAUCACUAAUCCUCACUUUUUGGUUGUUAGAUAAUUUACAUGAAGCUUGUUGGUCAAACUGAAGAAUGGAAGAACCAC